rnacentral:rRNA from 1 species
UGCANGUCNNNNAAGUAGCAAUACUUAGUGGCAGACGGGUGAGUAACAUGUGGGUAUCUUCCCUUUGGUGAGGAAUAACACGAGGAAGCUUGUGCUAAUACCUCAUAAGUCUUUACGGAGAAAGCUUUAUGCGCCAAUGGAUGAGCCCGCACUUGAUUAGUUUGUUGGUGGGGUAAAGGCCUACCAAGACUAUGAUCAAUAGCUGAUUUGAGAGGAUGAUCAGCCACAUUGGGACUGAGACACGGCCCAAACUCCUACGGGAGGCAGCAGUAGGGAAUCUUGCACAAUGGGGGAAACCCUGAUGCAGCGAUGCCGCGUGAGUGAAGAAGGCCCUUGGGUUGUAAAGCUCUUUCGUCGGGGAAGAAAAUGACUGUACCCGAAUAAGAAGGUCCGGCUAACUUCGUGCCAGCAGCCGCGGUAAUACGAAGGGACCUAGCGUAGUUCGGAAUUACUGGGCUUAAAGAGUUCGUAGGUGGUUAAAAAAGUUGGUGGUGAAAUCCCAGAGCUUAACUCUGGAACUGCCAUCAAAACUUUUUAGCUAGAGUAUGAUAGAGGAAAGCAGAAUUUCUAGUGUAGAGGUGAAAUUCGUAGAUAUUAGAAAGAAUACCAAUUGCGAAGGCAGCUUUCUGGAUCAUUACUGACGCUGAGGAACGAAAGCAUGGGUAGCGAAGAGGAUUAGAUACCCUCGUAGUCCAUGCCGUAAACGAUGUGUGUUAGACGUUGGAAAUUUAUUUUCAGUGUCGCAGCGAAAGCAAUAAACACACCGCCUGGGGAGUACGACCGCANGGUUAAAACUCAAAUGAAUUGANNGGNACCCGCACAAGUAGUGNNGCAUGUGGU